rnacentral:rRNA from 1 species
GACGAACCAAGCAAACGUUGUUCGGAAUCACUGGGCUUAAAGGGCGCGUAGGCGGUCUCUCAAGUCCGGGGUGAAAUCUUUCGGCUUAACCGGAAAAUUGCCUUGGAUACUGUGAGGCUCGAGUGAGGUAGGGGUAACGGGAACAUCCGGUGGAGCGGUGAAAUGCGUUGAUAUCGGAUGGAACGCCGGUGGCGAAAGCGCGUUACUGGACCUUUCUGACGCUGAGUGCGCGAAAGCCAGGGUAGCAAACGGGG